rnacentral:rRNA from 1 species
GAUGAACGCUGGCGGCGUGCCUAACACAUGCAAGUCGAACGGAGUCGUUUUGGAAAUCUCUUCGGAGAUGGAAUUCUCGACUUAGUGGCGGACGGGUGAGUAACGCGUGAGCAAUCUGCCUUUAAGAGGGGGAUAACAGUCGGAAACGGCUGCUAAUACCGCAUAAAGCAUUAAAUUCGCAUGUUUUUGAUGCCAAAGGAGCAAUCCGCUUUUAGAUGAGCUCGCGUCUGAUUAGCUAGUUGGCGGGGUAACGGCCCACCAAGGCGACGAUCAGUAGCCGGACUGAGAGGUUGAACGGCCACAGUGGGACUGAGACACGGCCCAGACUCCUACGGGAGGCAGCAGUGGGGAAUAUUGCGCAAUGGGGGAAACCCUGACGCAGCAACGCCGCGUGAUUGAAGAAGGCCUUCGGGUUGUAAAGAUCUUUAAUCAGGGACGAAACAAAUGACGGUACCUGAAGAAUAAGCUCCGGCUAACUACGUG